UACGUAGGGCGCAAGCGUUGUCCGGAAUUAUUGGGCGUAAAGAGCUCGUAGGCGGCUUGUCGCGUCGGUUGUGAAAGCCCGGGGCUUAACCCCGGGUCUGCAGUCGAUACGGGCAGGCUAGAGUUCGGUAGGGGAGAUCGGAAUUCCUGGUGUAGCGGUGAAAUGCGCAGAUAUCAGGAGGAACACCGGUGGCGAAGGCGCCACUCUGGGCCGAAACUGACGCUGAGGAGCGAAAGCAUGGGUAGCAAACAGG
rnacentral:rRNA from 1 species